UUUCAUCAUGUUUAAACUCUAGCAUCUAAAAUGUCUAACCGAUUUCGAAUAUAUUGUUCAAAUUUGAAUAUGACCGAUAUCAGAGAUGAAGGUCAAAAGUUAUGUGCCCAUGUAUUAUAACAAUUGGCAAACUUUGGUUUAAACAGUAUUUAUUUUUCGAAUACAAUGAGUACAUACAUGCAUACAAACAGUGAGAUACAUUUGAGCAAAUGAUACAUAGGUUUAGAAAACAAGUCUUCGAAAAAACUUAUAUGAAUUCGUUUCCUUAAGUGUGUAAAGUUUAAGAAUUGGCGUUGAUCUGAAAUUGAAGUAUGUGUGUGUGUAUAUUUUAUUAGGUAACAUAUUAUGAGAUUUUCGCAGUGGGAAGGAUAAAAGAAAAAAAAGGAACAAAGAAAGGAAAAGAAAAGGCGUACAUAGGAUUUAUAUAGGCAGAUGGCCCCCAAUUUUUGAAAAAUAAUAAGAUCGAUGACAGUGUUGAAAAUCGACAGUUUUCACUAAAAUAAACUUUAAACUACCGAACUGUGUCGUUUUUAAUAAUAACAUAUUCUCAGUAUUGAUGUAAAAUGGAUUUAAAAUACGACAGGUACAGGCAUUUCGCGUUAAAAUUGCUGAAUUCGGCCAUUUCAGACUCAAAAUUCGCUUAUUAGCAACCCUUGCUUCAAGUAACAAUUUAUAACAGCUAUUUCAUUUGUUAAUUCUAUUUAAUAUUUUCCUAACCAGAAACUGAAGCAAGGGUUGCUAAUAAAUGAAUUUUGGAAAAAAAUGAUAUUAUUUGUCUGGCCUUUCUCACGUAUAAGAGUGGCCUCCCUUGAAGCCAGGUGCUCGUUGCCAGGCAAUAUUAUAGGUGGCGUCGCUGUCAACAUGUGCAUGUGAAAACGAAAGUAGAUAGUUUAUCUAGGAAUUAUUACAACAUUUUACCCUUCUACGUUGAAUUUUUAAGAUAUAAUAGUAUGAAUAUAGAGAUGAUUAUUUAGUUACCUUCAACUGGUCAGUGGUCAAAAGGGAGUAUGUCUGUGUGUCUUGAAGCAUUGAAUGCCUCCAAAACAACCAGUAUGAUAAGAAGGUGUACAAUCUGGGUUGAAAACAGCCAUGGACAAUGAAUUUGGAGGUGCUUGCUGGAGCAUCAGAAAUUAAUACUUGGAAUAAAUAAUUGCACAAUACACAUUUACUGAGAAGUGACUAAUGUUUAUGUUAAAGUGCAAUAUCCAUGUUUGUAACAUUUACAUGGGGGUAAUAGUUACAGUGUUGAAAGAGACUACCAGUGUUACAUUUCAAACUAAGUUACAGUGUGGAUGCUAAUUCUAAAUUCUUGAUAAUCAAGUGUUUUUAAUAACUUAUGAAUACUAAUUAUUUAUCAAACUGGUUAAUUUAUCACAUUCCUACAUCAUUAUUUUAUAUAAAAUGCUUGCAGUUAUAUAAUAUAUGUCACGUUAAAUGGUA